UGGCCCCGCAGAACACCUUCCUGGACACCAUCGCCAACAGGUUCGAUGGGACACACAGCAAUUUCAUCCUGGCCAAUGCUCAGGUUCACCGUGGCUUCCCCAUUGUCUACUGUUCUGAUGGCUUCUGUGACCUCACUGGCUUUGCCCGCACUGAAGUCAUGCAGAAGAACUGCAGCUGCCGCUUCCUGUAUGGGCCUGAGACCAGUGAGCCUGUCCUGCAGCGCAUUGAGAAGGUGCUGGAUGGCAAGCAGGAGUAUCAGACCGAGGUCUGCUUCUACAAGAAGGGCGGAACAGCCUUCUGGUGCCUGCUGGACAUUUUGCCCAUCAAGAAUGAAAAGGGUGAAGUUGUUCUCUUCCUCUUCUCCUUCAAAGACAUCACCGAGAGUAGGGGCAAGAACCACCAGAGUGACCGGAAGGAUGAAAAGCACAGGAGCAAGAAGGCAGGAAGCUUGCACCUGCGGGCAGCACGGAGGCAGGGUCGGACAGUGCUGCACCAACUCACCAGCCAAUUCUCCCGGAAGGACCGGGGAGAAAUGAAGAUCAGCAGUAACGUCUUGGAGAACAAGCUGUCUAUCCCCGAGUACAAAGUGGCCUCGGUGCAGAAGUCCCGCUUCAUCCUGCUGCACUACAGCAUCUUCAAGGCCCUGUGGGAUUGGCUCAUCCUGCUGGCCACCUUCUACGUGGCUGUCACUGUCCCUUACAACGUUUGCUUCACCAGCACCGAGGACAGCCUGUCAGCUGCCCGCAGCACUAUUGUCAGUGACAUCGCAGUGGAGAUGCUCUUCAUCCUGGACAUCAUCCUGAACUUCCGCACCACCUACGUGAGCCAGUCGGGGCAGGUGGUAUAUGACACCCGCUCCAUCUGCAUCCACUAUGUGGCCACGUGGUUCUUCGUGGACCUUGUCGCUGCCUUGCCCUUUGAUCUCCUUUAUGCCUUCAAUGUGACUGUGACCUCACUGGUGCACCUGCUGAAGACUGUACGUCUCCUGCGGCUUUUGCGGCUCCUGCAGAAGCUGGACAGGUAUUCCCAGUACAGCGCCAUGGUGCUCACCCUGCUUAUGUCCAUGUUUGCGCUGCUUGCACACUGGAUGGCCUGCAUCUGGUACGUCAUCGGUCGGAAGGAGAUGGAAAGUAAUGACCCCCUGACCUGGGACAUUGGCUGGCUCCAUGAGCUGGGCAAGAGACUGGAGGCACCGUACAUCAACAACUCUGUGGGAGGCCCUUCCAUCCGCAGCGCCUACAUUGCUUCCCUCUAUUUCACCCUGAGCAGCCUGACCAGCGUGGGCUUUGGCAAUGUGUGCGCCAACACUGAUGCUGAAAAGAUCUUCUCCAUCUGCACCAUGCUCAUUGGGGCGCUGAUGCAUGCUGUGGUGUUUGGCAAUGUCACAGCCAUCAUCCAGCGCAUGUACUCACGCCGCUCGCUCUACCACACCCGCAUGAAGGACCUCAAGGACUUCAUCCGUGUCCAUCGCCUCCCACAGCAGCUGAAGCAGAGGAUGCUGGAGUACUUCCAGACCACCUGGUCAGUGAACAACGGCAUCGAUGCCAAUGAGCUGCUGCGCGAUUUUCCUGACGAGCUACGGGCUGACAUCGCCAUGCACCUCAACAAGGACAUCCUGCAAUUACCACUCUUCGAGGCAGCCAGCCGAGGCUGCCUGCGUGCCCUCUCUCUGCACAUCAAGACCUCCUUCUGCGCUCCGGGCGAGUACCUGCUACGCCAGGGUGAUGCUCUGCAGGCCAACUACUUUGUCUGCUCUGGCUCCCUCGAGGUCCUGAAGGACAACAUGGUGCUGGCCAUCCUGGGGAAAGGGGACUUGAUUGGGGCAGACCUGCCCAGCAAGGAGCAGGUGAUCAAAACCAACGCGGAUGUCAAGGCGCUGACCUACUGUGACCUUCAGUACAUCAGCUUGCGUGGCCUUUUUGAGGUGCUAGAGCUAUACCCUGAGUACUCCAGCAAGUUCAUGGCUGACAUCCAGCAGGACCUGACCUUCAACCUGCGGGAGGGCAGUGAGGCAGAGGGGCUCCUCCGAUACUCCAGAUCCCCUCGGCUGUCCCAGCCUCGCUCAGAGAGUGGGAACACCCCUGAGAAGCCCCUUCCAUCCAUCCACGAGGACGAAGAGGAGCCCGAUGACUUCUUCCACCCCUCACCAGCCACCAUCACGCGCCGGAAGCUGCUGCUGCCCAACCUUAAUAGUCCCGUGCGCCGUGGAUCCCUCAGCAGCCUGCUAGGUGACGACCUGCGGCAGUUCUCAGCUCUGCGGCGUACCUGCCGCUCCCCUGCCCACUGUACCAGGGGCAGGAGCCCCUCCCCGCAGUGCCGGAGAGGCAACCGGCCCUCAGAGAGUGAGAGCAGCAAUGGCCGGAAGCCAGCCAAGCUGCUGAUCCCCUCCCUGAACACCUAUGGCCCCCCGGACCUCAGCCCCAGAGUUGUUGACGGGAUUGAAGAUGAUGGUGGGACAUCAGAGACGCAAGCCUUCCAUUUCAAUGUGGACCUGCCCCUGCCGAGCUCGACCACAGAUUCACCCUUGUCAGGGACAGAGCAAGCCUUAGCAGCAGAAGCAGAGGAGAUAAAGCAGAACGUCCAGAGACUGAACCAAGAGAUCAGUAACCUCAACCGGGAAGUGUCCCACCUCAGCCGAGAGCUGCAACACAUGAUGCACCUCCUGCAGACCCAGCUGGGCGCCCAGCCGCUGUGCGGCCCCACCCUGGCCUGCCCUUACAGCCUCCACAGCCUCUCCUCUCCGGACCCCAGUGGUGGAAGCGAGCAGUCACCUGUUCCACCUUUGGCUCAUGUGUCCAUCAUGGUGCCGCUAUCACCUGCAAGCGGGGGAGCUUCUCCCAACACCGCCUCUGCCAAGCUCCCCAGCUUCAGGAGCCCCCAAGACACUAGCCCACAGGGCGAGGGGUCCCCUGCUCAGAGAGACUUACCCCAUGUCCCCUGCAGCCCCUCUUACCACCCCCCACUCCCAUUGUCGGACACAGAGAGGGCCUGCUUCUCACAGACAGAAGUGCAGCGUGCCCAGUUGCCCACCUGUGUCCCAUUGCAGCUGGGCUCUCCAACGCUGUGCUCCCUCACCGCACCUUCCUCUGGAUCCAUCCAGGCCUUCCCCUGCUGCUCGGCUCAGAGUCACCCACCCUCGUACUUCCACCUCAGGUCCAGCUCGGAAAGCUUCCACUGACACCACGGCCCCCCCAAGUCCUGCUGCUGCAACCCACCGUGGGUGCCCUCCAUCACUGGCCUCCGUUGUUGCCAUGGAGACUGCGAUGGAUGGAAGGAGGCUGGGCCCAGCCGGUGGCUGAUGACCGACACCAUUGGUUUGCAAAUGGCGGGUUUUCCUCAUAUUUGCAGAUUUCACUGCAAGAGUUGGGUAGGGGAAGGGAGAACCCUCCCAGCCUGCACUCAGCCUGGCUUCCCGGGUAGCUUCCAACUCCAGUAACCUGGUCUCAGCCCCUCCUUUGCUGAGCAGACUAGUUUUCUAUUAGAUGGCUUUUUUUUUUUUACCUUUGGGAAGAGGAAUUUAUUCCAGAGCCUUAGAACUCCUCCAAGGAUCUAAGCACAAGCCUGGUUCCCCAGGACCACCCUGGGUCAUCUGCAUGGCCAGGCACCUCCCUGCUCUCCUGGCUUUGGAGCCUGAGAUGUCUGCUCCCCACUCACCCUCCACGCAGUGGCCAGCUCUGCGAGGUUUGACGCCACACUAGAGAAUGUAGCUCUGUUAAUUAAACAGGAUGAACUCCUCUCACCCUGCGCUGACGGCCCCACAGGUGCCGGCAGCAAAGGGUUCUGGCACUGUUUGCAGAGGAAGCAGCCUGCUUAGGACCUGAGUGAUGCUGACAGAGGGCAGUGAUGCUGGGAAAGCAAUGUUUCAGACACCCCCCCAAGAGUCAAAGUGUAAUUCAAACCCUGGUUGUAACUCAAGUGAGGGACCAAGGGUUGGAAGGCAGUCAGGCCAGAGCUUGCUCUGCCUCUGCAACCCAGCUGUGUUCACUGGUUGGUGCUAGCUGAUCAACUCCUAAUGCUGGCUGAGCAGCUCUGGGUCCAGCAGCACCCAUUUCUCUCCCUGGUAACCAACACGCCUGAUUUCAUCCCCACAGACGUCACUGAAGUUACAUCUGAUUUUCAUGGGUUCAGGUGAGGUAAGAGCUGGGCCCAGUGUCCCUGCAGUGGCAGGAGGAAAGGAGUUGAUCUGAUCUAAGUGUGGGGGGUGGGGCAGUAUUGCGUGGGGGCAUGCAGGGUUCAGCACAGCCUGCAUAAGUGGGCUUCCCAAGAGAGAGGUCCCCUGUGAAUGCAGGAGCUGGCUGAGUCCAGUUCUGGGUUGCCCAUCUCCUUGCACUCACCAGUGACAGCUGCAGAUCUGUGGGUACGGGAAGGCAGAGCAGAUUCCUCAAGGUACCAUGGGCCCAUUCACAGGUGACUGUGACCUCAGUGGGAAGCAGCUCCCAGAGCCUCUGUCUCUGAGUGCAGCCCCUGACUACUGUUUUUUGGCACAAGGAGCUCUAUGGUUCCUGGCAUUGGUUGACCAGAUGGGAGGGGUCCAGCCCCAUAUGUAGGAGCUGAGUAGACCUGCAGCAGUGGAGGGGAGAGGGGGAUGGUUCCUUAAUGCAGCCCCUGCACCUGAAUGGACAGGUGAAAGCAGGGUCCAGGGUACCUGUAUGUACCCUGGAGCACAAAGAGGCAGGGGCAAGUGAAUCACAGUAAACCAAAUACAUCUGCUUGAAUGCCUUUGGCUGCUGGCAGGAAAUGCAUGCUGCUCUGCUAGUGCUGGUUGAGAGGACGGCUGUUCUAAUGCAUGGAUAUAGCCUGAGAAAAGCAGUUGCUGCCCAUGCUGAUUUAGAUGACUUGGCAAAGAGAGGGUUACGACUCCUCCUGUCCCCAGCUCUCCCAGUCCUGCACCUGUGUUGGCCAUUUGUCAUAGUAUUCAUAGUUUAUUGUAUUCAUAGAAAGAAGUAGGGUCGGAAGGGACCUUGUAGAUCUUCAAGUCCGACCCCCUGCCUGGGCAAGAGGAAAACUGGGCUCAAACAACCCCAGCCAGGCCCCAGGUGCAGCCCUAGCCCUGCACAUACUCUUCCACCUCCGCGCCGCCCCACCACUGCUGCGAGGAUGCUGCACACACACCACGGGAAAUAAAAGCUC